AAGUCCAAUAAUAAUUUAUGGACGAAUAUGUUUUAAGUCUGUGUAAGGGAUUGUGUCAAAAGCCAAGCCGUAUUUUCAAAUUUCGCCUACCGUUGAAACUAUAAAUUUGUAAAGCGGCACGAAGCAGUCAUAAGUUUUCAAUAACUGCUGAAGUGAGCGCGGGAUGUCUUCAGCAUUCUUAUAAAUAUCCAAGAGAUAGUCUAUCAAUGUAAAUCUUUGAAGAUUAUAUUGGGGACAGUCAAAGAAAAUGUGAUCAAGAGUUUGGAUGGAUAAAUUACAGAAUUGACAAGUUGGAGAAUCUAAAACACCGAUCCUAAAUAAAUGAGCACCACUACGAGAAUGUCCCAGACGUAACCGACAAAUUGUGGUGUAAAAUUUUCUGUAUUACUGUGUGGAGGAAUGUUGGAUGGAAUUGAAGAAGAUUCAGUUUCCGACACUACUAUGGAAAAUUUUGUGAUUGUAGUCAAGUGAUAGCUGCCCAAAGAGUCCUGAUCAACUUGCCAUUCACAGCACAGGAAUAAUGAAGAUGAUACUAUUGUUAGAUCUAGUCCAUUUGGUCUCCAAGAAUUAGUACCCACUGUAGUUGGUUGAUCAUUAUUUAAGAGCAUUAAGUCAUUAUCAUUCAUUACAUCCAUGAUGUCUCUACCUCUAGAAUUGGUUCUAUUACAACCCCAAAUGGUAUGGUGAGCAUUAAAAUCACCAGCAAUUAUUAGUGGUUUUGGAAUACUAUGCAACAGUCUAUUAAAUUUAGAUUUGUCAAAGUUAGGUACACUGUUGCCAGGACUAUAAAAACUAACAAUUGAGAUGUCUUUUUGUUUGUAUUUAAUUUUGAUUGCUACAUUUUGCAAGGAGUUAUCAGAAAAUUUUUCUAACUUUUGAAAAUAAAUGCCAUUUCUAACAAAAAUUGCUACACCAUUGUGAUUAUUACCACAAUCAUUUCUUAGUAUUGUAUAACCUCUGAUAGAAAACUGUAUAUUUGGUUUAAGCCAAGUUUCUGAUAAAAGUGCUAUGUGUAUGUCCUACUCAUAAAGAAGGUUUUGAAGCUCAAGUCUGUUACUCAACAGACUUUGAGCAUUCCACUGUACUAUGUUAAGUUUGUGACAGUUGAAUGUGACAUUUUAUUUUUAAUUUCUAUGGUAUCUUUAAUAGCUGAACUAAUUGCGUGUGAGCUAAUGCUUUGAUUCUGUGUUUUAUUUAGUGUAAUGACUUUGAUUAUUGAUUCUGUGAUUAGGUUCAUUGCUGCUGGAUUGGAUAAAAUUAAAUUAAUGAUGUCUUGUGUGUUCUCUGUCUUAUUGAGUGAUGGAAAGUUUGUUGGAUGUUUAAAUAAAUCUGAUAAUGGUGUUUUA